AACGAACGCUGGCGGCAGGCCUAACACAUGCAAGUCGAGCGAGAUCUUCGGGUCUAGCGGCGGACGGGUGAGUAACGCGUGGGAAUAUGCCUCUUGGUACGGAAUAGCCUCGGGAAACUGGGAGUAAUACCGUAUGUGCCCUUUGGGGGUAAGAUUUAUCGCCAAGAGAUUAGCCCGCGUUGGAUUAGGUAGUUGGUGGGGUAAUGGCCUACCAAGCCGACGAUCCAUAGCUGGUUGGGGAGGAUGACCAGCCACACUGGGGAUGAGACACGGACCAGAAUCGGACGGGAGGGAGGAGUGGGGAAUCUUAGACGAGGGGGGCAACUGUGAUAUAGCCAUGCGGGGGGAGUGAUGCAGGGGUUAGGGUUGUAAAGCUGCUUCAGCUGGGAAGAUAAUGACGGUACCAGCAGAAGAAGCCCCGGCUAACUACGUG
rnacentral:rRNA from 1 species